ensembl:lncRNA
GAAAGCUUUGAGUCGUUGCCAACUGCUAUUGUAAAUAUUUAUUAAGAGGCUGUUUCCAAGAACUGAGGAAGCUUUAUUCUAUUGCUGUUGUCGUUGUUUUUUAAACCUUAAAAAAGUGCUUAUUAUCCAUGUGUUUUUGGUAACAUGAAAAUUACUAUUUACGCUGAAGAUAAAUAAUUUGGGAUGAUUUGAAAAUAAAGGAUGUAGAAUGGAAGAAAUAUAUUGAACUAUCUAUUGAACCCUAGGAUGUUUGAGCUGGAAGUUACUUGGUUGAAGAUCUAGACCAAUCUAGUUGAAACCAGGAUUGCUCAACCUAACAGCAUCCUUGGUCUGUAUCCACUAGACGCCAGUAACACCCCCCCCCCUAAGUCAUGACAAAAUGUCCCAAAUAUUGCUAAAUGUCACCAAAUGAGAACUACUGGUCCAAAUCCUUUAUUUUAGAGAUGAAAAAAGAAGCUCAGAGAGGUAAGUGAUGGGCCUUACAUUACUCAGCUGGUUAGGAGUAGAUCCUGAAAUAGCAUCCUUCAUCUUUUACUGCCUCUUCUUGGGUUCUUUCCACAGAGACUGCCGCCAAACUUCCUGGAUAAUAUUAGUUAGCCACUCAAUCCCAUUUGCAUCAGAGCCAUGGGCUCAGACCCUCAAAAUAAUGCAGCUUCUAUUGAAAAACUCAAGCUCGGCAAGCUCAUGCUCUUUGAGCGGUCUCCAAUUCACUUAAGAACUAAGAUUUUUGUGAAAUUUCAAUGAUACACAUUGAGUUGAUUCUAAGUAACCGAAAUAUUCCUUCCAAGCUCACAUUUUCUUUCGGAGAAAGUAUCUGUUUUUCUCUCCAUUUCCUUUACUUGUGCUAAAGCAGAUGUCUUGAGCCAGUCCCAGAGGAUUUUUGUUUACUCGAUCAUUUUCCGUGGGACCGGCGACUAGGUGACUGAAUCCUUGCCAAACGGUAAAUAAAUCCAUAAACAACUUUUGUUCAUUGAUAAUUGGGUGUAACAUAUGCAAAGUUAAAGUUCACUUCGUAAAAACAUUUGGUUUUAUUUGAGGUCUUUUCUUCUGGUCAGUACCUUCAGACAUCUAGGUAAAAAAAAGAUAAUUCACAUUUCGACAUCCUAAGGUCCUGUCAUUUGCCUCUUAUUUAUAAUGUUGACAAAUAAGUAAAGGAGACAGCCAAAGGUGAGUGAAACCAGGCUCCAGAAUGUUCUUCCUCAGCGAUUGUACCACCAUGAACCAGCCCUUCCUGGUUGGUGACAGGCUCGCUUGCUCACAGGUUGCCCAGGGUCACUUGGCAGGCCUGCCUUGGAUUCCAACUCUACAGAGCUGUUGUCACUGAGUCCAGCAGCUUGUGGUUGGAAAAGACCCCCUGAGCCAGCAAAAGGCCAGUGACAUUCCAGCUCAACUCCAAUUUAUGUCAGUGUGCCAGUGACGAAAUUCACGUCUCUCCCUCAGCCCUGCCGGUUGUCUGUGUGACAGGGCAAAUCCUCGCUGACAGCCAGUGCCAGCAGCCGCAGCAGGUGCGUCUUCUUGCCCUUUGUUGAAAUGGCCUGCAGCUCCGGGAGAUAGCUCGGGAAUGCUGCUGACGCCAUCCGGGGACUCAGCACCCUCACCUGCUUACGCUCCAACUCUGCCGGUCUGGAAGAGGAACUGUGUUUCCAUAUUGUGAGAUGUUCUCAUUGCACCAGAUGCUGAGUUUUGUGCUGGCUUUGUGCAGAACCCAGAAAUAUCCAUCGUCAAAUUGAAAGCUGCGGUAGAAACAAAAUCUGGUCAAUGCUGUGUCGUCGGGACAUCGGGAGGCCCCACAGAACACCAAUCUCUUUCGUCUAAAUUACUGCAUCUUCUGAUUGUUCCCAGAUUCGUGCUGUGGUUAAGUCUGUGUGGGCAAGUCCUAUCUCCUGGUCGCUUUUCAUGUGCUGCACAGUACAUGACGUCGCAGCGUGGGAUAGCAGAAAGACAGCGAGUCUGAAUUCCAUUCCUGCUCUGAUAGUUUUUAUGAGUUUGGGCAGGAGGGUCAAUCUGAUCUGUUACUCCACCUUGAUCAGAAGCAGAAGUUGCAAAUGAACCUGUUUUUAUUCCCUUCUAACAAACGUGUGCAUGUGGCUGUGAUUUUAUAUCGCACACCUUCAAUAGAUAUUUUCUGUAAGUACAAUUGGAAUUCAUUUUGUACUGGAAAUGAACAGAUAAAUAACUCAUGGAUUUUGUUUGCUAGGUAAGUCGUACCUGCCAGGGACCGAACAAGUUAGAGAAUUCCUGGCUUCACUUAUCUGCCCGUCACUGAAGUGCCUUCAGGGACCUCUGGUCGUAUCAAUGGAAUAAUAUCUUCUUCUCAGUGAAGUUCCUCUUUGCUCCCAUCAAGUAUUCACUUGAAAUUUGGUUAGGUUUACUCCUUCUAAUUCCAAGUUUUGCUCCCCUGAGAAUUUAGAACUGACUUCUCCUAAAGGCACCGUAUCAUAUUUCCAGUUUUAAAAAUCGAAGCCUAAAGUAAUACACUUCUAAAAGUACACUCACCCUGAUGAAGUCCUUAGGUACGGAAACAAUGAGAUAUUUUAUAGAGAUAUUCAGUAAGUAAACGGUGGAAUUUCCACUGUCUCUGGUGCAUGGGCACAGGGGCCGUGAAAGCAAGAAGAGGAUCAGGACAGCCCACAUCGGCACAGAAAUAGCCCAUUCUCUGCUGGAACAGAGAGCAAGCAGAAGAGCCUCAAGGAGAAUGAACAAAUGUCAACCCGCGCAGAAGCCCAC